UUUAUGAUAAAAUGGAGCAAUCUGAAUUAAAUAUAUGGAAAGGUGAUUGGGGUUUACCAUCAAUAGACCGAGAGUGUUUGCAGGUUUUGGUUUAUGCUAAAUUUAAUAAUAUAGCUUUAAAAGUAAAUAAGUCUAGUAAUGUAUUCAAAACUCCCAAUGGCAGAUUACCUGUAUUCAAAAGUAAUAACAUCACAUUAGAUAAGGUUAAAGAUAUAAUAGACUAUCUUAGAGAAAAUCAUUACAACAAAGAAUUCACAUUAAAGAGAAAAGAAUGUGCAAGAAUAGUAGCUUAUGAUACAAUGUUGCAACAAAAAUUAUAUCCAGCAUUACAGUUCAUUUGGUGGGUAGAUGAAAGAAAUGUAAAUGAACUAAUAAGACCAUGGUACUGUAAAGCAAUACCUUUCCCAUUUAAUUUUUAUUAUCCAUCAAAAUUUGAACAAGAAGCACGUGCUAUGUUUGAAACCUUGUAUCCCAGAGAAGAUGACAUGGCUGUUAUAGAAAAUAAGGUAUAUUCUGAAGCCCAAAAAUGUUUAGCAAUAUUGUCUGCAAGUCUUGGAGAUUCAAACUAUUUUUUUGGUUCAGAACCUACCAUACUAGAUGCCAUUGUAUAUUCUUAUUUGGCACCAUUACUUAAAGUUCCUUUACCUAAUCCAGCUUUACAAAAUCAUUUAAAGAACUGCAAAAAUUUAGUAACGUUCAUAACGCGUAUAUCGGAAAGAUGUUUCAGCAGUGAAUGUCAAGAAUAUAAAGCCAAAGAAAAUGCUCAAAAUAUGAAAACUAGUUCAAAUAAUGAUUACCCUCAUAAAAGAAGAAAUCAAAUCCUUGCUGGACUUUUUACUGUUGUAGUGAUGACAACUUAUGUACUUUCAACUGGAAUUUUAAAGAAAUGGAAGCUGGCGAGAAUUCGUUUUAAGAAAUAUAAUUAGUUAAUGAGUUCUGAGUUUUUCCUGCAUUUAUGGUCUUCUAUUUAAAAUAAGAAGAAAUUACAUGUAUCGAUAAAGAGGAAUGAAAUAACGGAAAUACGUGCAGAGGGUAUAGUUGAGGAUGAAUAAGAAUUCGGGAGAUAUAAAACCAGUUCAUUA